rnacentral:lncRNA from 12 species
GGUGGCGGCGGUUCAAGGCUCCCGGGCAGCAAGGGCCCCUGGAGCUCCGGGUUUAGGGGCUUUACGAGCUCUUUUGAGGAACCAUCUUAAGCGGUGGGGGGGCAAGUCCUUCCAAUCAGAGCUGGGCGGGAUGAUCCCCAGGGCUCUGGGUGCAGGCCCAGUCGGGGCUGUGGUCCGGUACCUGCCCACCUCAGCUCAAGGUCCACGGCUGAUGUUCUUUUCUGCUGACAUCUGGGAGCUUAGGUCCUACCCGCCGCUUGCCCGUGAUGCUGGCACAUGCUCUGUGGUCAUUUGCCUUGUUUCAGGGCGUCUGGCGGGAGUCAUUUCUGCAGAGGCUACAGAGCAGCAAGCUUAGGCUGUCCUGACUCCGCGUGUUCUUGUUGGGGACCCCGGCCCUGACCACCUACCUGUGCAACUCAGUCCCAACCAUGAGCCGUAGGUGCCCAGAGCUGACCCGAACCAGACCCAGGCCUUAUCCCAACUGGGCGCCCACAGGCCGACUUCAAGUUGGAAAUUUCCUCAAAAACAAAGCUCAGAAGACUCUCGCAGUAAAAACCUCAGCUUCUCGAAGAAGAAAGAAUAGGCAAGAGUUGAAAACGAUUCUCCAAACUAUUGUGUGUCUGGGGAAGCUUCACAUUUUCAAGGAAACUGGCAUGAAUAAAACAAUGGUAUUGAUUCACCUCUUUUGGAAAAACAUGCGUAUAUUUAGGAUUUGAAGAGUGCCAGUUUGUGGGAGACCAA